UACGGGUGAGUAACACGUAGGUAAUCUACCUUACAGUUUGGAAUAACCUGCCGAAAGGCGGGCUAAUACUGGAUAGAACACGAGAUGUAUAAUGCAUUUCUUGGGAAAGGGAGCCUGAAAGGGCCCUCGCUGUGAGAUGAGCCUGCGUCCCAUUAGCUUGUUGGUAGGGUAAUGGCCUACCAAGGCAUUGAUGGGUAGCUGGUCUGAGAGGAUGAUCAGCCACACUGGAACUGAAACACGGUCCAGACUCC
rnacentral:rRNA from 1 species